GUAGCCCCACAGUCAGGAAGAGAAGGCAGGAGAAUUUAGAACCCCAGUCUGGAGCUUGGCAACAUCAGUCCCAGAGAAACUAGUGUGACUAGUGGGGCAGACCCAGGAGGCUUCUGUACUAGGGCUAAAGCCUGCAGUGCCUUUGUUGCCCCUCAAGACACUGUUGCUCAUUGCUGUUGUCUCCAGCACCCCUGGAUCCUUCCACGGAUGGCUAUGGGGGCUAUGGAGAAGCGUCUCAACAUCUGAUGGGGAAGAUCGAUGGUCUUAAUUCUCUGGAGGCCACUCUGUAAGCUUGCUGACUACUAGUAUCAGAGGUAAGGCUGAGGUGGACUUUUGGGAAUCCGUUUGAGCCAAAAAAUAGUAUUAGGUGUGGGAGAAGAGGGAAUUAACAAAGAAAGCAGCCUGUUCGCAGAAUAGCAAGAGUUAAUUGUUGAAACGAAUUUAGCUUAAGAGUAUUUCCAGGUGCUUCAAAGUAAAAUAGAAGAAAUUAUGCUUAUCAAGUCUGGGAGAGUGUAACAGGAAGUGGGAAGGCAGGAGGGACUUUGCAAAGCAAGCCACAGCUGGAUUCAUAACCAUCUGACGGAUUGAGCUGAGAGACUAGUCCAGGUGGCUCUGAGACAGGUCAGAAGCUGGAAGAAUGCUGGGUGUUACUGAAUAGGUUGGGGAGUUGGGCAGAGGGGGUAAGCAGAGGCCAAAGCUUUCUGAGUCACACAGAUUGACAGUGGGGGAACUUUCAAAUGAAAGUGGCUUUCAAACUGAAGAGAAACAAAUAUCCCAAGAAGGGAGAUGGUAGAAAGUGAAAACCAAAGAACAGGCUGAGCUGUGACGAUUGUGGCUGAACCAGACAUGGAACCUUCACAGAAGACAGAUUCACUCAGAAUGUAAAACGAACUAUCCACAAGAGAGAAAAGCCAUUGGCUUGGUCAGCCAAUGGCCACCUGGGUCUCUACAUUCUCCUGACACAGUUGGUCCAGCUUAGGAGCUCAGAUGCUCAGGGGAGACCCAGACAGAUGAAAUUGUGAGGUCCCUUGGGGUAAGGCAAUUCAGGAAUGUGGUGGAAGGCUAUCCCUCUUUGAUCCCUAGGCAACGGUGUUGGGAGGCGGGGCCAAAUGGAAGGUGUUAGGUCA
rnacentral:lncRNA from 1 species